GCCUCCUUGGCUCAGUUGGCUAGAGCGCGAGUCUCAUACUGUGAUAUGCGGAUGAUUACGUCAUCUUAAUCUCGAGGUCGCAAGUUCGAGCCUUGCAGGGGGCA
rnacentral:tRNA from 1 species